UACGGGGGGAGCAAGCGUUGUUCGGAUUUACUGGGCGUAAAGGGCGCGUAGGCGGCCAGCACAAGUCAGUUGUGAAAUCUCCGAGCUUAACUCGGAAAGGUCAGCUGAAACUGUGCGGCUAGAGUGCAGAAGGGGCAACUGGAAUUCUUGGUGUAGCGGUGAAAUGCGUAGAUAUCAAGAGGAACACCUGCGGCGAAGGCGGGUUGCUGGGCUGACACUGACGCUGAAGCGCGAAAGCUAGGGAGCGAACGGG
rnacentral:rRNA from 1 species